UAUGGUAUGGUAUGGUAUGGUAUGGUAUGGUAUGGUAUGGUAUGGUAUGGUAUGUAUGGUAUGGUAUGGUAUGGUAUGGUAUGGUAUGAUAAAAUAUUCUCAAUCACGGACACUUUAUAUUCGGUCUUUCCUGAAGUUCCAGAUUUUAUCAGUUGACUCCUUGUGGUUUUCCGAAUCUUGAACAUUGCUAAUGAGUCACCGGCAGUUGUUGAUGAGUUUCUAGAUCAUUGCGUCUAUAUUUAUUUUUGCUCUAAGUUUAAUCAUUAUAAAACGGAGAGAGCUCUCAGUCUCAUGUUUUACUAAUUAUUCCAACAAAUAUGAAUCAGGUUUUCACCGUUUUUUCCAAUGUUUUAUUAACAGACUAACAAACAGGCGUAAAACAUAACAGACAAGAACGAGUAUCUGCUAAUUUCCUCCUUCCUCUUCGAUUGUCUUUGGUCAGCAUAAAAGCAGUCACAAGGCAUCCUCUUUCAGUUAGUUCGAGCAAGACCAGAUUGAUUUCCUUCACUCUGCAGCAUCAUCUCACAGAUAGCAAAAUGAAAGCAACUUUGGUUAUUCUCUUGCUUGGCUUGAUUGUCAUCUCACAGGUCGAGUCUCUCACCAGUGGUGGUCUUCAGAUGUGGGGAAAAAGAGCUUUACGUGAGAGGGCCGAACAAGCAGAGACAUUGCAGAAAACCGCUUGUGCUUUUUGCAGAAUGAACGUACAUGUGUGCGAAAACCUCUCGCGAAGAUCUGCUGAAAAUGCAGAGAAAAAGUAAAGCUUCGAGCUGGCAAUAACAACAUCAGUGACUUAUUUGUAACUAGCAUAAUAGACUUGAAAAAUGUGUAUUUGAAUGCAUCAUAUCAAUUAAAAUGAUUGAGUCCUCUA